AUCAAAUGAGAAAUUGAAAAUGUGCAGAGGGGGAGAAAGAAAACCGUCGUCGCCGCCUUCACUCUUCUUCCCAUGAUCGUGGCGCUUUCCGCCACCAAAGGUCAUCAUCACUCUCAUUAUUCCCUAGCGCCGGCUCCAGCUCUCUCCCAGUAGUGAGAUCUUUUCCGCUCCUCCCCCUGCCCCGGUGCACGCUGGUGGUGCUUCACCGUCCUUCACACCUGCUCUCUUUGGUGGUUUAUCUCUUCUACUUCUUGCCUUAAGAAAUGUCGGUUGAAGAAAUGUUGCAUCAGCUGCAGCCAUCGCCCUCGAUCUUCGUCCCGGCGUCGGCCCUUCCACUCUAGGUGCAUUGAUUUGAUAAGUUAUGGAGGAGAUUGCCAAAUAUAUACAAGAUGAUGGACCUGGAUCGCUAAGAGAAGCGUGUCGGAUAAAGUAACCACUCUGGAUUGUUUGAGGUCAUACUUGAAUGUGUCAUCUUAACAAUGGCGGAAGAAUACAAGACCACCAUGUAAUCAGUCAGGUCAUGGGUCGUUCAACACAAGCUUCGUACCGUCGCAACCGAGCUCGAGUAUUCCGGCAAUAAUUUGAAAUGGAAAGCAGAAGGAUCUCUUCUUAUCUCGCUCACUUUUAACUUAUCUCACCUCUCCUGUUGUACGUUUUUCCUACAGAAGUUUAACCAAGCUUAGGCUGUUUGGAAUGGGUUUUUAACCUGGUCAUUAGUGUACUGAACUUAGUCUGCAUAUAAAGCUUUCUCAAACAAGGAUUUCACCAGGGAUAUAGAAGCAUGCCAGCUGACUUUCAGAAACGAAGAGAGCUGCUAGCUGACAGUGGUUUGGAAACUCUCUCUUACUCAACGUACUCUGGAAAAGAAACUUGAUAGUAUCAUUGAUGUCUAAAAUUGAGCAGGAGAUUGCUGAUGAACUUGGUGUUGUAGGAGGCUCACAUCCAUAGAAGAUGGUAAAAUUAUCAACUGCAUCUAUUGUAACGGGUGUAGUUUCAGGUGGUAUUGAACAACCUGUCUGGGCAGUAGUUAGUCCAGAAGUCAUUUCGAGCAACAGAGACCGUUACGGUAUUUCUCUGCUGUUGUUGUCACCAAAUUAUCCGGAGUAUCAUAUUCUUCACUGCAAUCAAGCUGGAAACCAAGAUAACCACAAUAUGCAGGACGGAUUUGUCCAUCAUAGAAAGGAUAGCUUAAACUGACAAUUCUACAAAGAAAAUUCCCUCUGCAAUCUUCGUAUUCAUUACCCUCAACAGAUUUACGGAGUUGGAUUAAGAGGGAGAUGAUGAUGAAGAGAACGAAAGACGAUUGAGCACAGAACAUCAUCUUUGGGAGCUUAAUAUUUUUUGUUAAAUAUGAACUUUUUUGGUUAUCUAAAGAUGAGCUUUGUGAACAUAUUUUAUCCAAUAUUUAUAUUAGUGGUAGUAAUACAAUUUUA